UACGAAGGGGGCUAGCGUUGCUCGGAAUCACUGGGCGUAAAGCGCACGUAGGCGGCUUUUUAAGUCAGAGGUGAAAUCCUGGAGCUCAACUCCAGAACUGCCUUUGAUACUGGAGAGCUUGAGUCCGGGAGAGGUGGGUGGAACUGCGAGUGUAGAGGUGAAAUUCGUAGAUAUUCGCAAGAACACCAGUGGCGAAGGCGGCUCACUGGCCCGGUACUGACGCUGAGGUGCGAAAGCGUGGGGAGCAAACAGG
rnacentral:rRNA from 1 species